rfam:Schistosoma mattheei strain Denwood, Zambia genome assembly, scaffold: SMTD_contig0013048
AUCCACAUGACGAGUCCCAAAUAGGAUGCAACACGCGUCCAGGAU